CACAGUGGAGCUAGCUAGCAAUGUAAGCUAUCAUUCUGCAACUCACAGGCACCGGAGUGUGUGUAUGGAUGUGAUUUGAAUGUAACUGAAGGAAUGUGCACUUUGCAGCAACUUUGAUGCAACUGUGAACAUCAUCAUCAUGGCUUCGAGCUUCGCCCCACCGAAACUGGCUGAUUUCAUUCUCACUGAGAGGCUGGGCAGUGGCACCUAUGCGACAGUUUACAAAGCUUACAGAAAGGGGGACAACCGGGAGGUGGUGGCAGUGAAGGUGGUUGGGAAGAAGACUCUGAACAAGGUGUCUAUGGAGAACCUGCUGACUGAGAUAGAGAUCCUGAAAACUGUUCGCCACCCUCACAUUGUUCAGCUGAAUGACUUCCAGUGGGACAGUGAAAACAUCUAUCUGAUCCUGGAGUGGUGUUCUGGUGGGGACCUGUCCCGUUUCAUCCACAGUAGGCGCUUGCUACCUGAGAGGGUGGCUCGGCUCUUCCUGCAGCAGAUAGCCUGCGCUCUUCAGUAUCUCCAUAAUCAUAACAUCUCCCAUCUGGACCUGAAACCCCAGAACAUUCUGCUCAGUGGUUCUGUCCUUAAACUAGCAGGUACAGCACACUGCCAAGUGCCACAAUCACACUUACAUACAGUAUUCCUUAUGGUCACAUUUCAAUCCUUAUUAAUCUAUUGCAUUUCUUCACCAUGGAACUGUGAUAUGAAUCAUAGUUGCGAAAUCAUAGCAGUGCCAAUAUGCCAGAGGUUAUUGGUGGCAUCGUCUCUGCACUUUUCAGUUGUGACGUUUAAAAUGAUGGAAUGCAACAGUUGCACCACUGAAUCAUGCAUUAGAGGAUUUUGUAAUGCUGCUACAAGUAUUACCAGGUGUAUCACAGUCUUGACUGAGGCUAGUCUAGUGCACUUUGCACUGAAACAUUUUUGCCCUAUGCUGUUGUAAGAUUUUGGCUUUGCGAGUUACAUGUCUCCGUGGGAUGAGCAGAGUGCUCUGAGGGGCUCUCCUCUCUACAUGGCCCCUGAGAUGGUGUGUCGAAGGCAGUAUGACUCCAGGGUCGACCUCUGGUCUGUGGGAGUCAUCCUGUAUGAGACACUAUUUGGCCGUGCACCAUUUGCCUCCAGAUCCUAUGCUGAACUGGAGGAGAAGAUCCGCAGUGACAAGCCCAUCGAGGUAAGCUCUGUUACAUCUAUCUAAAGAAAUGUGUGGUAGCAAUGAUUGUUCAUUCUGUGACUGCUGUUAGAAGAAUCAUUCUUUCCCCUGUGAGUAUAUUUGCCACCGCAGGGUGGCACACUUGCUCAAUAAACCUUAUCUCACAGUGCUUUCUUGUUGGAAGGGACACUCCUGUGCCAGAGUGGGUUCUACAGUCUCCUCCUCAAUCCAGUGGUCAGGACAGAGUGUAAUUAGUUGGAAGAUAGAAAUAAUUUAUUAGACAAUUAAAAAUAUAUAUAUAACUCCAGCCACAAGUGGAUACGCUACAUUUAAAAUCAUCAAGGAUAACACAAUAUAUGUUUUGCAACUUCUUAUAAAAUCAUUGUGGUCCUCUGGUUGUGUUGUGUGUCCCAGCUGCCUGCAGGGGCCAGAGUGUCCAGGAACUGCAGGGACUUACUGCUGCGGCUUCUGGACAGGGACCCUGACACCCGCCUCACCUUCACUCAGUUCUUCUCCCACCCCUGGGUGGACCUCGAGCACAUGCCCAACGCAGAGAGCCUGGGGAAAGCGAAGGAUCUGGUCCUGAAAGCUGUUCAGAAGGACCAGGAGGGGGAUAGAUCAGCUGCUCUGUCUCUGUACUGCAGCGCACUGGAGCACUUUGUCCCCGCCAUUCACUAUGAGACAGACAGACUGCGUAAAGAUGCCCUUAGGCAAAAGGUUAGUCAGUACGUGUCCAGGGCAGAGGAGCUGAAAGCUCUGGUGUCUGCAGACAACAACCUCUGCUUUGAGCAGUUCAAGUCCACCAGAGACAUCCUGAGAGGGAACCUUCGUAAGGACUUGAUAACACAUUCAUAAGACCCAGAAGGAGCACGUUAUCAAGUGUAACUGGGUAUUGAAGUACCUAGAGGAGAUGUUCUGAGAAGGCCUCCGGUCCAACCCUUACUCUCUGUCUGUCCCCCUCUCAGAGAUGUCCCGAGACCAACCACGGGUGCUGGCUGCUCUGGAGCUGGCAUCUACAGCCAUCGCCAUGGAGGAGAAUGGGAUAGAGGACCAUGAUACACUGGCUCUGUACCAGCAGAGUCUGGGAGAACUACUGCUAGCCCUGGCAGCUGAAGCCCAGGGGCGCCGGAGAGAGCUGCUCCAUGGUGAGAUCAAGAGCCUAAUGACCAGAGCUGAAUACCUCAAAGAACAGAUCAAGAUGCUGGAGACCCAAAAAGAUGUGUCAAUGGACAGAGAGCCUCUAUCAGAAUCUGUGAGAAGUUCAUGCUGUGUGCAGUGAGCCAGCCUGGCAGUAGGAACCAGAGAGAGGGGCCAUCGUGCCUGCGGAGCACCAGACCUCCUGCACCUCUACGGGUCAGGCUAAGGAAUCCCUCAGGCCUCUGAGACCAUGGCCUCAGUAGUCUCGCGUCACCCUACUCGUAAGUCUCAAUCAUCGCACGGCUGUUGUUUCCCAACAAACAUGAGAAAGCCUGGAAAUGGAGGCAAUGGCGUCAGAGACAAUCUACCCUGUUAUUACUCUGCCUGGACUUCAACUAGCAGCUUGUCAGCCUUGCAUCCCCCUCACCAACACAACACAGAAGACUGUCACAGUCUCGAGUCACUGCUUCAGCCUCAAAGCCCUCCUGCCUAAGCAUUCAUAUGGAAAGGCUGGACAGCUUGUAUGCUAAUACUGUACUGUCAUGAUAAACUAGUGCUUUAUCAUGUUGUUGUGUUAUGUUGCAGGAUGAAUAAGAGUAAUAAUGAGCCUCAAAUGCUUGUAGUUGCACAAUAGAUGGCGACUUGAACUCAGAAUGGCUACCCAGCAUAGCAAGUUUGUAGUCUGUAACUGAUGGGAGUUAUCGAAAUGUAUCAUUAAUAUUUGGGAAAGCUCUUCUGGCGUCUGUCGCCCCACAUACACACACACACGCGCCUGCGCACACACACAAACAAACUAAAUCCAUUUUCUGUGGCCUGACCACAGUCUCACCACGCUCUCUCUGCUGAUGGAGCAGCCUCUACCACUAUGAGAGGAAAACUGGAGAGGUGCGGCUGCUGCCUUAUUUACUCUGUAGACUUUCAUUUACUUUUGGGUUGGCACCGGUCAGGAUGAAGGCAUACAGUAGCAACUGUGAAGUCAUGGCGUGCUUCACAACUCAGCCUGCUUUAGUAGCCUGCCAAAAGGUUGGACAUUUGGUGACAGGUUAACAGUUACUGCUGUUGUGGGUCUUUUCCUUUCUGUUUGAUUUCAGUGAGCCAGGUUGUGUGCAUGAAUCUACUUUCAAGGGAACUUUCAAUAUUUGUGAAUAUACUGUACCAUAGGAGGUGAUCUGCUGUUUAAUCAGGAAAUGGAAUGGUGUAACUGAAAAGGACUGGAUUGGAAAGAAAUGUCUGUCGAAUUGAGAACUGACAAUUGUGUAUUGUUUUUGUUGAAACAUUUUGUAUGGGUAUGAUUUUAUAAAUUAUUUAUUACCGUAAAAGGCUGAUUCAAUUGAAAUAAAAAUGUAAUGUGUUGUCAUGGCCUGUAUUCGUAAAUUAAAGUGCCUUUGGAAAAUAUUCA